GCCGGCAGGGACAACCUCCCAUCCGGCUGCCCGCGGGCAGGCAGCACUCCUGGGGUACAGCGAGGGGUACGGGUUUGCCCCUGUGGCUGCUGCUGGGGCGCAGGGGGGGACCCAGGUCCCACCAGCCGGGCAGGCACCACUCCCACCGCGCCGACCCUGCGGGCAAGGGGCCGGGCACGUCGCCUCUCUUAGGGCUCCAAGCCUCCGGUCACACCGUGUCACCAAUCCAGUGUUCUGGGAAGGUGGAAACAGCAAUUUGAAAGAACUUCAAUAAGAAGUGGGAACAUUGGUAUCACCUAAUUUUUCCAGUUCAGAGGGGAAAAAAAAAAAAAAAAAAAAAAAAAGAAAAAAAAGAGCCUGAGAGAGAUGAAAUUUUGAAAAAAAAGAAAAAAACGUCAGAAACAAACUAACAAAUUCAUGGUCAAACUGGGAAGAGAGCUGCUAAAUCUGACUGCAGCCCCUGCUCCCUUCUGCCCUUCUGUCUGGAAGACACAAGAUGAAGAAACUGAAUAGAAAACUUCUACAUUCAGCAAUCUUUCUGUGUGCCAGUUACAUGGGUAAUUACAGAGACGUCGUUAAACAUCAGAACUCAGAUGACGAAGAGCACACGCACGUACCACCUGCUGGUGUACAGUGCUGCCCGAGUGCUCAGGGCCCCUCCCCACCCCCCCCCAUGCGGGUGGUCGUGGCAGUGUGGACUUUGCUGGGCAACCCCAAUGGCUCAUGCUGACAAAACACUCAGUGGACAUUUUGUGAGCAUUUUGCUUUAGACUUGAGCACCGUUGCCCUUUUGUAAUGCAUACAAGCCCUUAAACACACCGUGGAAUACACUCAGUGUAAUAAUCCAUGUACAGGUCCUGGAAAAUUUAUAGGAUAGUCCAGCUACCUCUAGGUGAGUAGGUCAAAAGCAAUGCAAAGAUUUGUAGGAGCAGGAAAUCACAAAGCUGCCUCUGAAUACAAGAACAGGGCAUACACAAUGCCAGAAAGAGUAAUAAAAUUUUGUAGUGCACAGAUUAAAAAAAAAAGAAAAAGGAAUAAACUAUGCUACUUAAAAAACCCUCAGAAGGAAGAGUACAUCUAGCCUCAAAGAGGCAGCCUCAGCUACUCAGCACAUUAAACUCCCCUUGAAACACCUAUCAAAAUAAUCAAAAUAACUUUAAGUCCCACAGUUACAUUCUCAUUGCCUAAACUGUUGCACUUCACUAUUUAAUUCAUCUAUUAAAUAAAAAUGUGCAUUUAAUUUGGAAGGCACAAGAGUUUUGGUCUACACAGCUGCUAGUCCUUUUUAGGACAAGACUGUUUUGUGUAUUCUCUCAGGUGUGUGCCCACACGCCAAAAUGGUGUGAAACAAGUGAGCAAAGAACUUCCCCCAGGAUGCUGUGCAACACCAGGCAUAAGUCUACUGCUUUUUUGCAGGUGAAAUGUAGAUGCAGGCAAAACAUAAGCUAAAAUUCUGCAUGGUCCUAAACUACUUCAUUUGAUGGAAAAAGUCUAAAGGUCAUACCCAUACAGCUUAAGAAGAAAAAAAAGACAAUUUUUACUGUCUUUCAUACAAUAAUUUUCAAAAAUAGUUUAACUGAGAGUUAGAUUAAUACUAGUACAAAUUAGAAAAUCCUGUAUAGUGGUAAACAACAUUCACAAAGAUCAGAAGCGUGUAACUUAACACACCCAUACUUAAAUGGUUGGCAUUUCACUGUAGCAUUAGAGCCACAUCUCCUGAAGCUCAACAGAUGUUGGGCACAAAUGACUUCAAAUUCCUGGAAGCAAGAAAAAUCUGUUCUUUGCCAGGGAGGUAGCAUUAUGCUGUAAGACAUAGAUUUCAGUGUUUUUCCCUAGAAAUGUCUCUCCUCAAAUAAGCUUCAAACUAAACCAUCAUAAGUAAGCAGGGCUGCGGACAAUGCUCCCAUUCAAGCCAUAUGCACGCUCACUAAUGUUGCAAAAAUGCAUCACCACCUCGAGUUCUGCUGAACAUAACAGUCUCUUUUAAGGAGAAAGAGACUUGGCUUAUUUUUCAUUCAUGGAAAGACAAUCACAUGAUUCAGCAACGUCCACUUCAAAAGAUCUAAAGCUAGGAAUCUGACAUGAGCUGCAUGCAAAGGAUUUAAGGCAAAUAUUUUUUGCAUUGUUGCCCUUAAGAGUAGACAAUUAUUAAUUUUCAUGCACUAACAAACCACUAUUUCAAGAAAAGGGAAACAUUAAAGACUGCAUUCAUAGUACCUGGAGGUCUCCAGUCCUGCCCAAGGCAGGCCUAGCUUCAAAGCUGGAUCAUGCUGCUCAGGAGCCCACACAGGGACAACACAUCCACCAUCGCUUUUGGCACCUGCUCCACCACCCUCACAACGGAGGAUACUUUUCCUUAUGCUUAACCAGGAUUUCCCCUGCUGCAGCUUGUGACCACUGCCUCUUGCCUGUCCUUUCACCGUGCAUCUCCAAUGAGUCUACCUCCAUCUUCUUCAUACUUGUACAGUUAGUUGAAGUCAACUGGAGCCUCCCUCAGCCUCCUCAGCUGAAACACAACCAGCUCUCACAGCCUUUCCUGGUAAGUCAUGCUGCAAAUCCAACUGCCUUGGUGGUCCCUCGACUGUGGUCCCUUCAGUUCUUUGGUCUCCUUUGUAUGGGCAUCCACAGUCACAGAAGCGCAGAGCAGGAAAACCCCUUCUCUCAAUCUGCUAUGUUCUUGCUCACACAGCCCAGCCUGCAGCUUCCUUUUGUGGCUUCAAGGUCAUGCUGUCGAGUCCUAUUCAAUUUACUGCCUAUUUGGACCCCCAGGUCUUCUCUGCAAAGCUGUCUUCUGCUGCUCUUUUCGUUGAACUUCAUAGAGUUCUUGUUAGUCCACUUCAGCUUUCUGAAGUCACCUUGAAUGACAGCUCUGCCCUCUGGCAUAUACACUACGUCCACCAAUUUGGUGUCAACUUUGACUUGCUGAGGCUGCACUCCAUCCCAGCCUUUGUAAUACUAAUGAAAACAUUAAACUACAUUCGCACCAGUAUUAGCCCCCAAAGAAUACCACCAGUAAAUCUCUGCCAGUUCAUUGCUGAACCACUGGUUCAGACAGUUUUUCCACACACUCUAUAAUCCAUCCAACCAUCCAUCCAGUCUGUAUCUAGUUUGACUCCAGGAAUGCUAAUGAAGUGUCAAAAAUCCUGGGACCAUCAAAGUAAGCAAGGCCCUCUGCUCGUCCCUUGCCCACAAGACAUUGUCUCCAUCACUUCAUCUCAUUUGCCCAUUUAAAAAUCCAUGCCUGGCUGUUCCCAGUCACCUUCUUGUCCUUCGUGUGUCUGGAAGUGGCUUCCACGAGGACCAGCGCCACAAUCCUGCCAGGGACUGAGCUGAGGUGAGCCAGCCUGCUAUCUCCCAGAUGUUUCUUUGUGCCUUAGAACACUAUUAAACACCUCAGGGUCUAAUUUCUUCCUCUUGCAUGACCCAAGAAAAUGAAGACAGUUUCAUUUGACCUGUAGUAGCCUGACAUUACAACCAUGUUACCAUAUUUGCCUGCAAUUCUAAAAGCAGAAGAGCUGGAAAUUCCAGUAGCUGGAGAACAGGUAGCACAGCUUGUUUGGCUCAGCCCUUCCUGUAACUUUUCAGAAAGCUGCCCAAAACUACAAAUCCAAGUUUGCAAACACCUUCCCCCCACUCAAAAAAACAAAAAAAAAACCACCAAAAAAACCCCAAACUCAUUAGAUUUAAACAUAGCAGGGUAUUUUAAUUGUGUUUGGAAAAGCUGAGUCCAAUUUAAUCCAAGCUUUCCUUCAGACUUUAUUUUUAAAAAAGGUUGUUUUUCUGCAGGGAGAAGAGCAUGAAGUUCCCAUGUUUUGGAGGAAAGCCCUAAAAAAAAAAAAAAAUCUCAAGAGAGGGAGCAACAGAGAAAAAGCAAGCAAGUAAGCUUCCUGGUCAAGUAAUGUGUGUAAUUUAAUAAUUAAAAGUGC